GAUGAACGCUGGCGGCGUGCCUAAUACAUGCAAGUCGAGCGAACAGACGGGGAGCUUGCUCCUCUGACGUUAGCGGCGGACGGGUGAGUAACACGUGGAUAACCUACCUAUAAGACUGGGAUAACUUCGGGAAACCGGAGCUAAUACCGGAUAACAUGUUGAACCGCAUGGUUCAACAGUGAAAGACGGUUUUGCUGUCACUUAUAGAUGGAUCCGCGUCGCAUUAGCUAGUUGGUAAGGUAACGGCUUACCAAGGCAACGAUGCGUAGCCGACCUGAGAGGGUGAUCGGCCACACUGGAACUGAGACACGGUCCAGACUCCUACGGGAGGCAGCAGUAGGGAAUCUUCCGCAAUGGGCGAAAGCCUGACGGAGCAACGCCGCGUGAGUGAAGAAGGUCUUCGGAUCGUAAAACUCUGUUAUUAGGGAAGAACAAAUGUGUAAGUAACUAUGCACGUCUUGACGGUACCUAAUCAGAAAGCCACGGCUAACUACGUG
rnacentral:rRNA from 1 species